rnacentral:rRNA from 1 species
AUUGAACGCUGGCGGCAGGCUUAACACAUGCAAGUCGAGCGGAGAGAGGUAGCUUGCUACCGAUCUUAGCGGCGGACGGGUGAGUAAUGCUUAGGAAUCUGCCUAUUAGUGGGGGACAACAUUUCGAAAGGAAUGCUAAUACCGCAUACGUCCUACGGGAGAAAGCAGGGGAUCUUCGGACCCUGCGCUAAUAGAUGAGCCUAAGUCGGAUUAGCUAGUUGGUGGGGUAAAGGCCUACCAAGGCGACGAUCUGUAGCGGGUCUGAGAGGAUGAUCCGCCAGACUGGGACUGGGACACGGCCCGGACGCCUACGGGAGGCAGCAGUGGGGAAUAUUGGACAAUGGGCGCAAGCCUGAUUCAGCCAUGCCGCGUGUGUGAAGAAGGCCUUAUGGUUGUAAAGCACUUUAAGCGAGGAGGAGGCUACUUUAGUUAAUACCUAGAGAUAGUGGACGUUACUCGCAGAAUAAGCACCGGCUAACUCUGUGCCAGCAGCCGCCGUAAUAC